UACGUAGGGGACGAGCGUUGUCCGGAUUCAUUGGGCGUAAAGCGCGCGUAGGCGGUUUGGUAAGUCGGAUGUGAAAACCAGAGGCUCAACCUCUGGCCUGCAUCCGAUACUGAUCGACUCGAAGGCAGGAGAGGGUAGUGGAAUUCCCGGUGUAGUGGUGAAAUGCGUAGAGAUCGGGAGGAACACCCGUGGCGAAGGCGGCCAUCUGGACCAGCACUGACGCUGAGGCACGAAAGCGUGGGGAGCGAACGAGG
rnacentral:rRNA from 1 species